GUGGGGAAUAUUGGACAAUGGGGGGAACCCUGAUCCAGCCAUGCCGCGUGUGUGAAGAAGGCCUUUUGGUUGUAAAGCACUUUAAGCGAGGAGGAGGCUACCGAGAUUAAUACUCUUGGAUAGUGGACGUUACUCGCAGAAUAAGCACCGGCUAACUCUGUGCCAGCAGCCGCGGUAAUACAGAGGGUGCAAGCGUUAAUCGGAUUUACUGGGCGUAAAGCGCGCGUAGGUGGCCAAUUAAGUCAAAUGUGAAAUCCCCGAGCUUAACUUGGGAAUUGCAUUCGAUACUGGUUGGCUAGAGUAUGGGAGAGGAUGGUAGAAUUCCAGGUGUAGCGGUGAAAUGCGUAGAGAUCUGGAGGAAUACCGAUGGCGAAGGCAGCCAUCUGGCCUAAUACUGACACUGAGGUGCGAAAGCAUGGGGAGCAUACAGGAUUAGAAACCCCAGUAGUCC
rnacentral:rRNA from 1 species